rnacentral:rRNA from 1 species
GUGUCAGCAGCCGCGGUAAUACGUAGGUGGCGAGCGUUGUCCGGAUUUACUGGGCGUAAAGCGCGUGCAGGCGGUUCGUUAAGUCUGGGGUGAAAUCUCCCGGCUCAACUGGGAGGGGUUCUCAGAUACUGGCGGACUUGAGGGAGGUAGAGGAGAGUAGAAUUCUCGGUGUAGUGGUGAUAUGCGUAGAUAUCGAGAGGAAUACCAGUGGCGAAGGCGGCUCUCUGGACCUUACCUGACGCUAAGACGCGAAAGCGUGGGGAGCGAACCGGAUUAGAAACCCCUGUAGUCC